CAGUCGUACUUAUGGGUAAUCAGCCUUUUGGGUGUGAUUUUGUGGAGUGUGAGGAGUUAAACGCCUUCAUGCCUGCAUAUUCGUGCACUUUGGGUGUACUUGCCCGUGUGUAGGUUAACAUCAAUUUUGGUCGUCAUAAAAUGACUGGAGGAAUGUAGCUUCGAUCUCGUAUUGAAGUGUUAUAGCCUCUGGUAGAUGUGGUGAACGAAACUGAGGAUUGCAACGAAUACCCUUCGGGCUAUCCGUAUGACCUCUGAAAGUUGCUUGGGUCGACCG
rnacentral:rRNA from 1 species